GUCCUAGCCGUAACGGUGCAUAUUGCUGUAAAGGAAUCGACCCUUUGUGGCGAAGCUAACGCGAUAAAUAUGCCGCCUGGGAAGUACGGUCGCAAGAUUAAACUCAAAGAAUUGACGGGCCUGCACAAGCGGUGGAGUAUGUGGCUUAAUUCGAUGCAACGCGAAGAACCUUACCUGGCCUUGACAUGUAUCUAGUAGAAGGGUGAAAGCCUGACGAGAUAGCAAUAUCAGGAUACACAGGUGCUGCAUGGCUGUCGU
rnacentral:rRNA from 1 species